AGGGGUGCACUCAAUGAUAUGAUUGAGGAGCAAGAGCUAAGAUAGUGCCCCAAUGAGUUGUCUGACUACUCAACACCUCGAAAGGCUAAUCCGAUGCCCGAAACUACAAGGUUCAAACCUUGAUGUAUAUCAAGACCUGGAAAGUCUACCCAUGUGAUGGCAGACACAGAUGUGUCACCAUUCUAUCAAGUUAGAUGAGGUAAAGCAGCUUGGGCUUAAGGUGGGCAAGGGGAAGGGUUGGGUAAAGAUGUUGGGUAGCCCAUUGAUGGUGUAGAGUUGCACCUAGGCUCGUGGACUAGAUUUGCUCCUAGGCACUUGGACCGAUAAGGUUGAUUUUUUGUAGAUGCCCAUCAAUAACUUUGAUAUGGUUGUAGGCAUGGAGUCCCUAAAGCAAUUCAAUGGGGUGUCCUUGCCACAUUACAACUCAAUGUCCACUUGAGGGAGGACACACCAUCAUGCCAACAGGGGCCAAGCUUAGUUCUAGUGCAAAGCUUCUCUUUGCAAUGCAAGUCCCAAGGGUUAAUUGGAAGUGGAAGUGGAAGUAGAAGUCACUUCUUUGGCUACAUUGAGAGGUCAUAGUAUGAUGGUGCUAAUGAAAACUCCAUGGAGCUUCUAAGCAAACUAAGGGAGUUCCAUGAUCUAGUUCAACAGCUUUCAAGGUGGCUAAAUCUUGGCAUAAGCAAGCAAAUGCCGCACGCUCCUACCUUGACAAAGCUACAAAGAAGACAACCAUCACUUGGGCCAUAUCUUUGUACCUUUUGACAGUUAAUUAUAACUUUCAACAGAUUAGAUUCUUCGCAUUUGAGAUUUUUUUGUCGUUUUUUAUUACUUUCAGUAGUUAAGGUUAAUUUUAAGCAACCAUCAUGCAACUCUACUAUGGUAUAGAA
rnacentral:lncRNA from 1 species